rnacentral:lncRNA from 1 species
CCAAAGUCCACUGUGUUGGGAACACCAACUCCCAGGGUGGAGUUCCAUACACGCCAGGCCGGUGUGGUCUGUCCUUACAAAUACAUCACAGCCAUUCCUUCCAAGUGGAUUAAGCUGAACCUCUGACAUUGCCAUGUGCUGAGGCCAAAAUGUUCUAACACCAGCAGUUUCAUAUGAUUCAACCUAAACAGCAAACUCAUCUGUACCCUGUGCAAACUGACCUGAGUCUCAAUUUGAACCGAAGCUUAAGAGAACAGAGUUUAGAGUUAGAACAUCGGAGUUCAAGGCCUGGUUUUGCCGUUUUCUAGCUCUGCGAUCUUCAGCAAGUCACACGUAUUUCCAAGGCCUCGAUUUCUCCCUCUGCAAAAUGGCAAGAUGCUCAUCACAGGACCUACUUCACGGGACUGGCUUGGGACUUGAGAUAGCUUAAAUAAGAGUGGCCACAAUGCUCCAUGGAACAGAAAUGUGAAGACCGUCCCCAAACCAGGUCUAGGCAUCUUCUCCGCAGGAGGCCCCAGAGACAUUGUGAUUGACUGGCCAAGUUUCCAACUACAAGGGAAAGCCAGGGAAAAUGACCACUUUCUUUACGCCUCUCAGUUAUGAUACCUUUUAUGUCUUUCUCAAGCCCUGGCUCUCUGAGGUCCAGUGUUAAAACAUAAAUCAUUCCUGUCUGGAAUGGAACCAGUGUGGGUCUUGUCUGCUUCUUGUGAGUUUCCAGGUACAGGUGGAUUCUUCUCUCUCUGAUAGGCAGCCAUGCAGAUUGGAUCCAGACCCUAAUACAGUCUUCAUCAUCAUCAUCGUUGUCUUUGACAUCACUGUCAACAGUCAGGAAUGAGUAAGUCCUGUAAGUCAGGCUAAGGGAGCUGGAAGCUUAUGGACAGACUUGGAAGGCAUAUGCACCCCAAAAGCAAUUGCGAGCUGCAGUAUGCAGACUGGAGGUGGUAGCCAGCACAGAGAGCCCACUGUCCCCUUCCAGGGAAGAGAUGAUGGCGGUUUGGGGAAGGUGGUGGAGGAGAGAAAGCUGCAGGACUGAGAGCUACUGGGAGCAGCACAGAUCAACUGAGAUAAUGUGAGGAAAACACCCAGCAAGACGCCGGCACAUAUUAGUUGCUCUGUGAACACAGAUUUUUGUUGCUGUUGUUGUUUAAAUAAACUGCAGCAGCUGUUGAGAAACC